rnacentral:misc_RNA from 1 species
CAACCCUCAGGAGCCCCUUCCGGGGGGCACCUGGUGCUGGGGAUCAGCGGCCUCCGGGCCCCUGUCCCCCAAAUACAGUGGCGGUCGCGCCGCAGCCUCCCCUGCGUAGUAGCACACCUCGCACCGGAGAGCGGCUCGGCCACGCCGUGAAACCCCCAACUUUCACAA